UACAACUAUGUGUAUUCUGAAUA
rnacentral:siRNA from 1 species